GAGUGAGUGGCGGACGGGUGAGUAACACGUGGGUAACCUGCCCUAAAGUGGGGGAUAACAUUUGGAAACAGAUGCUAAUACCGCAUAAAACCUAGCACCGCAUGGUGCAAGGUUGAAAGAUGGUUUCGGCUAUCACUUUAGGAUGGACCCGCGGUGCAUUAGUUAGUUGGUGAGGUAAAGGCUCACCAAGACCGUGAUGCAUAGCCGACCUGAGAGGGUAAUCGGCCACACUGGGACUGAGACACGGCCCAGACUCCUACGGGAGGCAGCAGUAGGGAAUCUUCCACAAUGGACGAAAGUCUGAUGGAGCAACGCCGCGUGAGUGAAGAAGGUUUUCGGAUCGUAAAACUCUGUUGUUGGAGAAGAACGUAUUUGAUAGUAACUGAUCAGGUAGUGACGGUAUCCAACCAGAAAGCCACGGCUAACUACGUGCCAGCAGCCGCGGUAAUACGUAGGUGGCAAGCGUUGUCCGGAUUUAUUGGGCGUAAAGCGAGCGCAGGCGGUUUCUUAAGUCUGAUGUGAAAGCCUUCGGCUCAACCGAAGAAGUGCAUCGGAAACUGGGAAACUUGAGUGCAGAAGAGGACAGUGGAACUCCAUGUGUAGCGGUGAAAUGCGUAGAUAUAUGGAAGAACACCAGUGGCGAAGGCGGCUGUCUGGUCUGUAACUGACGCUGAGGCUCGAAAGCAUGGGUAGCAAACAGGAUUAGAUACCCUGGUAGUCCAUGCCGUAAACGAUGAGUGCUAGGUGUUGGAGGGUUUCCGCCCUUCAGUGCCGCAGCUAACGCAUUAAGCACUCCGCCUGGGGAGUACGACCGCAAGGUUGAAACUCAAAGGAAUUGACGGGGGCCCGCACAAGCGGUGGAGCAUGUGGUUUAAUUCGAAGCAACGCGAAGAACCUUACCAGGUCUUGACAUCCUUUGACCACUCUAGAGAUAGAGCUUUCCCUUCGGGGACAAAGUGACAGGUGGUGCAUGGUUGUCGUCAGCUCGUGUCGUGAGAUGUUGGGUUAAGUCCCGCAACGAGCGCAACCCUUAUUACUAGUUGCCAGCAUUUAGUUGGGCACUCUAGUGAGACUGCCGGUGACAAACCGGAGGAAGGUGGGGACGACGUCAAAUCAUCAUGCCCCUUAUGACCUGGGCUACACACGUGCUACAAUGGAUGGUACAACGAGUCGCGAGACCGCGAGGUUUAGCUAAUCUCUUAAAACCAUUCUCAGUUCGGAUUGUAGGCUGCAACUCGCCUACAUGAAGCCGGAAUCGCUAGUAAUCGCGGAUCAGCAUGCCGCGGUGAAUACGUUCCCGGGCCUUGUACACACCGCCCGUCACACCAUGAGAGUUUGUAACACCCAAAGCCGGUGAGGUAACCU
rnacentral:rRNA from 1 species